GAUGAACGCUAGCUACAGGCUUAACACAUGCAAGUCGAGGGGCAGCAUGUUGGUUGCUUGCAACCAAUGAUGGCGACCGGCGCACGGGUGAGUAACGCGUAUCCAACCUACCCAAUACUCAGGCAUAACCCGUUGAAAGACGGACUAAUUCCUGAUGGUAUGUAUUUUUCCCCAGAAUUUUACCUUAAAAAAUUUCCGUAUUGGAAGGGGAAGCCUCCGAAUAAUUUGGUGGUGAAGGAACCGCUCCACCAAAACUCCAACAAUAAGGGUUCCGAAAAGAAAGGCCCCCCCCUUGGAACUGAAAACCCGGCCCAACUCCCACCGGAAGGCACCAUGAAGAAUAUUGGUCCAUGGAAGGAAAUCCGAACCCACCCAAUUACCUGGAAGAAGAACGCCCUAUUGGUUGGAAACUGGUUUUAAGUUAAAAUUAAGUUAAGUAAGUAUUCCUAAUUGCCUGGAACAACUGGAUUAGGAACCGCUUAUUCCGUGCCAGCAACCCCGGUAUAGGGAAGGUCCAGCGUUAUCCGAAUUUAUGGGUUAAAGGUGCGUAGCCGUUUGAUAACGUGCUGGGAAUAUUAUUGCUCACCUCUAUCGUGCAGCGCGACUGUCGACCUGAAUGCGUAGUAGUAGCCGAAUUCGUGGUGUAGCGUGAAUGCUUAGAUAUCACGAGACUCGAUGCGAGCAGCUAACGUAACGUACUGACGCUAGCACGAAGUGCGUAUCGACAGAUAGAUACUUGGUAGUCAGCGAUCACAUGAUUCAGCUAUCGAUCGUCGACUCGAGGAGCCGUACUAGCUUGUCUAGUAGGUAUA
rnacentral:rRNA from 1 species